rnacentral:tRNA from 1 species
AAAAAUUUAGUUAAUAAAUAACAUUAACUUGUCAAGUUAAAGUAAAUAUAAAAUAUUAAUUUUUA